CUUCCCAUUUAUUUGCUGCUUGUAGUCUCACAGUGAUAUGAGCAAUUAUACAUGUGGGAUAAAAUAAUAUUGGGCCACUGUAAAUUGAGAUGAAGUAACCAUUUUCAUCUCUUCUGCAUGGACUAGACAUUG
ensembl:snoRNA